rnacentral:tRNA from 1 species
GGGGAUUUAGCUCAGCGGCAUAAGCACCUGCCUUGCAAGCAAGCGGUUGUGAGUUCAAUCCCCA